rnacentral:rRNA from 1 species
GAUCAUGGCUCAGGAUGAACGCUAGCUACAGGCUUAACACAUGCGAGUCGAGGGGCAGCAUGUAUCCGGCUUGCCAGAUACGAUGGCGACCGGCGCACGGGUGAGUAACGCGUAUCCGACCUGCCGCACACUCCGGGAUAGCCUUGCGAAAGCAAGUUUAAUACCGGAUGCCGUAAGGACGCCGCAUGGUGUUUUUACGAAAGGGGUUUACCGGUGUGCGAUGGGGAUGCGUCCCAUUAG